AAGAGUAUGGUGGAAUUGGUAGACACGUCAGAUUUAGGAUCUGGUGACUUUGUUCGUGCAGGUUCAAGUCCUGUUACUCUUA